ACAACCCAAAAUUUUAUAAGGGGAUUUUACAAGAUCAAAUAAAAGCACGUUGCUACUAAUGUUGUGACAUUUCAAAGUGCCACCUAAGAUUUUAAGGUAUAUGAUGACGAGUCUAAGAAAAUUUAGACAAGACAUCCUAUAAAUGUUGUUUUUUUUUUAUGUUUAGCAAUUAUUUCCAAUGACUAUCAAAGAAUAAAUUGGAAGAAAAGUUGUAGUGCCCGUUUCACAAAUGUCCAACAUUACAAAACAAAUUGGAUCAUUGAGAUCUCGUAAAGAUAUUAAAAAGAUAUGCGUCAUUAAUACAAAAUCGUAAAAAGAUAUGCGUCAUUAAUACAACAUCUUAAAAAGAUAUGUGUCAUUAAUACAAUAUCUUAAAAAGAUAUGCGUAAUUAAUAAGCUUAGCCACUUGCCAUUUUUUUUAUGCAUAUGUACACGCCACUUGCCAUCUUAUAUUUAUAUGUAUAUGUACUUUUAUGCAAAUCUCUCUCUCUACUCCCUAAAUAUCUCCCACCCUUCCCUCUAUAUUAUUUCUUUUCCAAAAACCGUUCUCUCUAUCUCUGCAAUGAAGAAGACAAGGUUUUUCCUCUCAACCUUAAUUCAAGAAACCGAGAACCCAACUCGACAAGGGGAAACUACCGUUCAUUCGCUCAGAAUUUGCUCAAAAUCCGUUCAAGGGUACGUCCGCAAGUAAAGUCGGAACGAAUGAUUCAAGUUAAAGGAACUAAAUGAUCCAGGUUGAGCAGCGAAGUAGUGGAGGAAGUGCUAUUGAGACAAGAUACUUAAUUCAGUCAGAUUUUGA